rnacentral:rRNA from 1 species
CCCCAGUAAACGGCGGCCGUAACUAUAACGGUCCUAAGGUAGCGAAAUUCCUUGUCGGGUAAGUUCCGACCCGCACGAAAGGCGUAACGAUUUGGGCACUGUCUCAACAACAGACUCGGUGAAAUUGUAAUUCCGGUGAAGAUGCCGGAUACCUGCGACAGGACGGAAAGACCCCAUGGAGCUUUACUGUAGCUUGACAUUGGGUCUUGGUACUACAUGUACAGGAUAGGUGGGAGGCUUUGAAACCAGGACGCCAGUUUUGGCGGAGCCAUCCUUGGGAUACCACCCUUGUAGUACUGGGACUCUAACCAUAGGCCAUGAAUCUGGUCUUGGGACACUGUCAGGUGGGCAGUUUGACUGGGGCGGUCGCCUCCCAAAAGGUAACGGAGGCGCUCAAAGGUUCUCUCAGUACGGUCGGAAAUCGUACGUAGAGU